UAGAUAAAUAGUUAGCUAAGAAAAGGUUGUUUAGGAAUUGAGGCAUUUAUUAGAAUGAAUAAAAUUUAAGCUAUAUGUGGAGUACAGUGAAGGAAAAUUGAAAAUGAUGUUAUUUUGGAGAAGGGGGAAGAUUGUACCUUUUGUAUAAGGGUUGAAUUAUAUUAAUAAUUAAGAAUUUAAUUCCCGAAGAUCUUUGAGCUAUAUUAAUUAUUUAUUAUGGGCGUUGUAUAUCUUGUAUGGAGUUAAUUAUAGUGAUGAAAUUUUAGUCAAAAAGAUAGAUAUCUGGUUAAAAUAUUAACAAUUAUAUAUUGAUCUAUAAUUAUUUUUUUAUUUUAAAAUUUUAUAGAUGUUAUUUAUAGGGAUAAGCUUGUAAAUUUUUUAUAAAAUUAUAUCUGGAAAGAAGGGGGUUUAAAAUUUACUAAAUUUGUAAUAAAAUAUUGAGUGUUGGAAGAUAUAUAUUAUGUUUGUGUUUUGUUUUAUUGAAUAGAAAUUUAUUGGCGUUUAUAUUAGAAUUAGUAUAAAAAGGGGAAUUUAGUAGUUUGAGACUAUAUUUAAAAGUAAUAAAUAGGAUAAGAACUCGGCAAUUUUAGUUAUUGACUGUUUAACAAAAACAUUGUAUUUUGAUAGGAUAGAAUAUAUAACCUGCUCAAUGACAAGUUUAAUUGCUGUGGUAUUUUGACUAUACAAAGGUAUUGUAAUAAGGCUUUUAAUGGGCUCUAAAAGAAUGGUUUAACAAUGACUAUCUUUUUUACUUAUUAUAUUAGAAGUUGGUAUGAAAAUGAAAAAAUUUUCAUGAGUUUUUGGGACAAGAAGACCCUAUGAAUUUUUUUGAAAUUUUUUUUUUGAGAAGUUCUUAAGAAAUUUAGUUAAAGGAUAUUUCUGUUGAUUGGGGUGAUUCUUAAAGCUUGUGAAUCUUUAGGUAUAACAAUAAGAUCCAUUAUUAAUGAUUAAAUGAGAUAAAUACUCUAGGGAUAACAGCGAAGCUAUGAAGCGGUGAUGUGUACAAGGUUUCAGCUAGAAAUGCAAACGCAGUCCCUCAGCUUUCGGUAAAAGAGGUUAUAUGAAUUCCAACUGAACGAAGUACAGGACCAUAGAUUGCGACCUCGAUGUUGGAUUAAGAUUCUUUUGUAAUGCAGGAGUUACAAGAAGAAGUUUGCUCAACUUUUGAAAUCUUACAUGAUCUGAGUUCAGACCGACGUGAGUCAGGUUGGUUUCUAUCUAGAUAGAUAUAAAUAAUCUUUAUAGUACGAAAGGAAUAAAAGAUUAGAAUUAUUUUAAUAAAGAAAGUGUAGAAAAUACUAUAG
rnacentral:rRNA from 1 species